rnacentral:lncRNA from 1 species
UCGAUUUCAACUAGUUCGUCUAAUAAGAAAAUUAAAAAAAAUAAAUAAAAUAUUUGAAUCAUAUAGUUUUAAACAUAGAUGUGUAGAAUGCAACAAAUAUUGUUAAAUUUGCAGUUUUAAAUAUGUUACUUAAGAAAUUGAAAUUAAAAAACUACAAACAAGAAAGAUGAGCAAAUUGAAAUUAAAGAAUAACUGAAAAACCAGAACUCAACAUAUAAGCACCGAUUCAUCAUUAUUAAAUUCUCAUAACUUGGUUGGAAUGGAGGAAAAUACACAGGUACAAGAGGAAAAAGAAACAAAGGAAAAAACAGUAGUUUCUGAAAGGGGUAAAAAAAGACUAGGUACAAAUCAAACAAACAUCUCCAUAGGAGGAGUAAUUAUAUGUUGGCUGGCCAUAAGGGUGAAAUUCAGUAGCCUUCUGGCUUGUAGGCGAUGAAACUGAUGCACUGCACUUGACGAACGUUAUCGAAUCCGAUAAUACGGAUCCAGGCCUGUGGGUAAGCCUUCUUGGCCUCUUGGACCUCAUUCAACACCUGGGUAGCGUCAGUGCACCCAAACAUGGGCAACUUCCACAUUGUCCAGUACCUUCCAUCGUAGUAUCCUGGUGACCUGUGGUGCUCACGGUACACGAAUCCGUGCUGCAUCCAUAACAUAUUCAUAAUAAUUAGUUACUAUUAUGCUUAAUUAAUACUUGUAAAUUUUAUAAAUCAGAGACAAAUAUUGACCUCAGUCUCGAAUUCCAAGCAAGGAACCCAUCCCUUUUGCAAAAGGUACUCAAUUUCCUUGAGCAAUUGCUCGUCAGACAAAUCAGGAAGGUAUGAGAGAGUCUCGUACUUCUUCUUGUUAAUUGGUGGCCACACCUACACUCCACACAUAAAACAAUUCAAAGUAAUUAGUACUAGCACGAAUUAGAAACGUAGUUAACUAUAUUGAUAAUGUAAAAAUUCUUUUAACCAGCAUGCAUUGGACACGUCCACCGUUGCUAGCAAUGGAAGUAAUGUCAAGGUUGUUCUUCCUAGUAACUGGGAAAGAUGCAGCAGAUUUUAGGCCAGUGAAGGGUGCAACCAUGCUAGCCUGAGUGACAUUGGUGCGGGUAGCAACGGCUGCCGAAGAGAUCACUGAGGAAGCCAUUGCGUUACUACUUAGUUUUAUUUUUCCUUGAGACAAUUGUUUUUUUGAAGAUGCUCAUUGCACUGUGGCUCCCGUCCUUUAUAUAAUGAAAAGAUUAGACAUAUUCUCUAUCUAACGGAUUGAAACAAGCAAACCUCAUCUUAGAUGAAUGGUGACCAUUGGAUUAUGUGGCUGUUGAUAUUACAAAGUUUAAUGGCCACAUGAAAGAUAA